ACCUGGUCAGCUGCCAAGCUGUGCAGCGGAAGACAGAGGGGCCAGCACACACGGGCCCUCUCUCCCUCAGGCAGGUCUCCAUCCCACUGCCAGCUCUAGACCAGCAGGCCUGGGAGGAAAGAAGGUAGGCCAUCAGCUGGGGUGCAGAUGGAACACCUGCCAGUGGCUGAGAGUGUUCCUGAAAAUAAUCGAAUGAAGAGGCAAUACCUUUCCCCAGGGCUUGUUUCACAGAGGGCACCCAGGUUGGCACGAACACGUGCACUCAGUGACUGUGCCUGCUCUACACUUGGGCUUUUUCACCUCAAGGUUUACGCUAUGACUCAGCACAAGGAAUCGGUUCCUUCCUGCCUUCACCAGGAGGCUCAUGAAUUCACCGUCAUGCAGAGAUUUUAAAGACAACACCACUUCUGCUGGAUCAAAACCGGGAUUUUAAGUGAGCCCGCAGCAGACCCUUGGGAUUUUCUGGAACAGCGAUCCUAGUCUGCUCGGUAGGCAGCGGGAGUCAGCUCCAUCCUUCUGCAAGCGGACUCCCGUCAGAGACCAUCGCCCUCUGCCUGCAUGCUGUGCCCUGCGCCGCCCUGACCACCACUCAUGGAAAGAGAUGAUGAACUUAUUAAAGCCAACAACCGAAUCCUGUAUGUCAAACAGUAAUUCUAGUUGCCACAGAACCCAGUCUAGCAGUUGAGGUCCCAGAAUGGAAGGAAUCUGUCAGUAACAUUUUUGGCUCAUCAGGUCUUACAAAAUGUGUGAGAAGCAGAAAAGAAUGUUUUUCAAAGAUAUGCCAAGUCCUGAACCACAGGGGACAUCAACUGGAGUCCCUGGAUGUGCUCUGUCCAACUUCCAGUUCCAUGGGGCGAGGGGAGUGGAUGGGGUCCACUUCUGAUGAGCUGGAACUUCCCAAGGCACGUGGGCGAGAGGGAGCACCGAGUGCAUGGAGAGAGGGUGGCUGGGACGGGGUGAACACGCCUAACUCUAGAGAUUCGGACCCAAAUCUGGACCGAGACUCCUCCACACCAGUCCUCCCACCUCUUGUUUUCAAGAAACAUUUUCCAGCUGGAAAACCUUAGAAGCUGGAAAAACAAGUAUCCCAAGGGGAAAAGUAUGAGGUGUUCUUAACUAAAGAAGCAUAAAAUAAAAUAAAACACAAAUGAAAGUGACAAAUGGAGGAGGGAAGCCUG
rnacentral:lncRNA from 10 species